AUGAAGAUGAGUCGACAAUGGAUGUAUGAUGACAGAUGCUCUCCCGAGUUCAUUAAUGGUGUGCAUACUUUUCUGCUUGCCGCUGAGGCAAACAAGCAGGCGGAUGGUUUUAUGCCUUGUCCAUGUGCUGGCUGUAAGAAUGGUCAUAGUUACUCUACGUCAAGAACCAUUCACGUCCACCUAUUUGAGUCCGGUUUCAUGCCUCACUAUAAUGUUUGGACCAAGCACGGAGAAAUAGGGGUUAUGUGGAAGACAAUGAAGAAGAAGAGGACGACGACGGCUAUCCUGCCCAUGGGUUCCCUGAAUACGAUGAUACAACAAUGGGGGAAGAAGCUGAGCCGGCAAUGCAGAAAGAAGCUGAAGAAGAGGCAUCAGAUGAGCCCGCAGAUGAUCUAG
rnacentral:rRNA from 1 species